rnacentral:rRNA from 1 species
GACGUAGGGCGCGAGCGUUGUCCGGAUUUAUUGGGCGUAAAGAGCUCGUAGGCGGCUUGUCGCGUCGAAUGUGAAAACUCGGGGCUCAACUCCGAGCUUGCAUUCGAUACGGGCAGGCUAGAGUUCGGUAGGGGAGACUGGAAUUCCUGGUGUAGCGAUGAAAUGCGUAGAUAUCUGGAGGAACACCGGUGGCGAAGGCGGCAAUCCUGGACCAACACUGACGCUGAGGAGCGAAAGCCAGGGGAGCAAAGCGGGAUUAA